GUCCUGGUCGAUUAGUGGUGAAAUCAUCUCGUUGUGGUUUUAGAUGUUGCCUAACAACCGAGAAGCCGAGGGCUCGACUCCCUCCCGGGACA
rnacentral:tRNA from 1 species